CUCAUGGUUUCACGGUAUUGCAAUGAGAACAAUUUAAAACCCUUAGCGAGAAUCAAGUGGAGGACAAGUCUGGUGCCAGCACCCGCGGUAAUUCCAGCUCCACUAGCGUAUAUUAAAGUUGUUGCAGUUAAAAAGCUCGUAGUUGAACCUCUGUCUGGGGCUAGUUUUGGCUUUGGUCAGGCUAGUUCUAGGCAUCCGCCUACAAGACUUAGAGGGCAUUCAGUUGUUCACUAGGAGGAGUAGGCAUUUUACUUUGAAAAAAUUAGAGUGUUUAAGGCAGGCAAUCGCCCGCAUAUAUUAGCAUGGAAUAAUAGAAUAGGACACUUUUCCAUUUCGUUGGUUAUUGGAAUCGUGUAAUGAUUAAUAGGGACAGUUGUGGGCAUUUGUAUUUAAUUGUCAGAGGUGAAAUUCUUGGAUUUAUUAAAGACAAACUAACGCGAAAGCAUUUGCCAAGGAUGUUUUCAUUAAUCAAGAACGAAAGUUAGGGGAUCAAAGACGAUCAGAUACCGUCCUAGUCUUAACUAUAAACUAUUCCGACUCAAUGUUUGACUGGCUUAUAUAACCAGUUGAGCGUUGUAUGAGAAAUCAAAGUCUUUAGGUUCUGGGGGGAGUAUGGUUGCAAAGCUGAAACUUAAAGGAAUUGACGGAAGAGCACAACCAGGAGUGGAUUCUGCGGCUUAAUUUGACUCAACACGGGGAAACUUACCAGGUUAAAACAAUAGUGGGAUUGACAGUUUGAGAGCGCUUUCUUGAUUGGUUGGGUGGUGGUGCAUGGCCGUUCUUAGUUGGUGGAGUGAUUUGUCUGCUUAAUUGCGUUAACGAACGAGACCUUAACCUGCUUACUAGACUGGCGAUCAUCAAUCGUUAGCUCUUCUUAGAGGGACUUUGGUUGUUUUAACUCCAAGGAAGUUUGAGGCAAUAACAGGUCUGUGAUGCCCUUAGAUAUCCUGGGCCGCACGCGUCAUACAAUGACUAGUUCAGAAAGUUUUCUCCUGACCCGAAAGGGGAUGGGUAAUCUUGAUAAUACUAGUCGUGUUAGGGAUCGAUCUUUGCAAUUAUAGAUCUUGAACGAGGAAUUCCUAGUAAGUGCGGUUCAUCAGACCGUACUGAUUACGUCCCUGCUCUUUGUACACACCGCCCGUCGCUUCUACCGAGUGGGUGGUCCGGUGAGAUAAUUGAACUUCGCAGGUAACUGAGAGGAAAGAUUAUCAAACCUAUCCACCU
rnacentral:rRNA from 1 species